rnacentral:misc_RNA from 1 species
UCCCGUCUUCUGAUUCCUCUCAACUUCACGAAUCUAACCGCCCAUAUGCUUCCCACAGGCAAUCGAUCAAACACCUGACCGAGGAGAUUGACGAUCUCCUGGGGAGGAGAGGUGAGGAAGAGAGCCGGCGGAACGGGGUGGCGCGGCGGCGCCGCGUCGGAUUCCGGUGGUUCGGGAGGAGGAGGAAAGGAGGGGGGAGGAG